GGAUGAACGUUGGCGGUGUGCUUAAUACAUGUAAGUCGAACGAGGUACUUUUAUCUUCGGAUGAGAGUAUCCUAGUGGCGAACGGGUGAGUAACACGUUGGUGACCUGCCCCGAAGUGUGGGAUAACAGUUCGAAAGGACUGCUAAUACCGCAUGCGAUCGCUUGGAUUAGAAGCCUUGCGAUUAAAGGAGUAAUCCGCUUUGGGAGGGACCUGCGUCCCAUCAGCUAGUUGGUAAGGUAACGGCUUACCAAGGCAAUGACGGGUAGGGGACCUGAGAGGGUGACCCCCCACACUGGCACUGAAACACGGGCCAGACACCUACGGGUGGCAGCAGUAGGGAAUCUUGGACAAUAGGCGAAAGCCUGAUCCAGCAAUGCCGCGUGCACGAUGAAGGUCUUCGGAUUGUAAAGUGCUUUUAGAAGGGAUGAGUAAGGACAGUACCUUCUGAAUAAGCCUCAGCGAACUACGUGCCAGCAGCCGCGGUAAGACGUAGGAGGCAAGCGUUAUCCGGAUUUAUUGGGCGUAAAGCGCGUGCAGGCGGUUUGGUAAGUUGGAUGUGAAAUCUCUCGGCUUAACCGGGAGAGGUCGUUCAAAACUACCAGACUCGAGAUUGGUAGAGGGAGGUGGAAUUCCAGGUGUAGUGGUGAAAUGCGCAGAUAUCUGGAGGAACACCAGUGGCGAAGGCGGCCUCCUGGACCAUACCUGACACUCAGACGCGAAAGCUAGGGUAGCAAACGGAAUUAGAGACUCCGGUAGUCCUAGCCCUAAACGAUGCAGACUAGGCGUCGGCGGUUUAAUCACCGUCGGUGUCCAAGCUAACGCGAUAAGUCUGCCGCCUGAGGACUACGGCCGCAAGGCUAAAACUCAAAGGAAUUGACGGGUCCCCGCACAAGCAGCGGAGCGUGUGGUUUAAUUCGAUGCUCCGCGAAGAACCUUACCUGGGUUUGACAUAACAGUGGUAGAGAAACGAAAGUGGACCGACCCUUCGGGGAGCUGUUACGGGUGUUGCAUGGCUGUCGUCAGCUCGUGUCGUGAGAUGUUCGGUUAAGUCCGCUAACGAGCGCAACCCGCGCUGUGUGUUACAAGUGUCACACAGUACCGCCGGUAUUAAGUCGGAGGAAGGUGCGGAUGACGUCAAGUCAGCAUGACCUUUAUAUCCAGGGCUACACACACGCUACAAUGGUCAGCACAAUAGGUUGCCAAGCCGCAAGGCGGAGCCAAUCCUCCAAAGCUGGCCUCAGUUCAGAUUGCAGGCUGCAACUCGCCUGCAUGAAGUCGGAGUUGCUAGUAACCGCAGGUCAGCAUACUGCGGUGAAUACGUUCCCGGGGAU
rnacentral:rRNA from 1 species